UACGGAGGGUGCGAGCGUUAUCCGGAUUCACUGGGUUGAAAGGGUGCGUAGGUGGGAAUGUAAGUCAGUGGUGAAAUCUCCGUGCUUAACACGGAAACUGCCAUUGAUACUAUGUUUCUUGAAUUUUCUGGAGGUUAGCGGAAUAUGUCAUGUAGCGGUGAAAUGCUUAGUUAUGACAUAGAACACGGAUUGCGAAGGCAGCUAACUACAGGGAUAUUGACACUGAGGCACGAAAGCGUGGGGAUCAAACAGG
rnacentral:rRNA from 1 species